AUGCGCUCUUGUGAGUGAAGUGAACCCUACUCACCCCUUCUCUAUAAAGCUGCUUCAAAGAGAUUAUACAUGGUAGAGUGGUCCAUGGGAUUUUGUAUGGGCUUGCUCUUUUAUUUUCCCCUCUCUUUCUCUCUCUGUUGCUAUUUUUUCAGUGCAAGAAAGAAAAUUUAGAAAGAAAGGAAAGGAACGUGAGAUCUGAAGAGAAUUUGAAGGAGUUUCUUGAUGGCGAUUUAAUUCUUGCAAGUCCUGGUCAUGCUAUUCCACAGCUUUCUUGAACUUUCUUGAACUACUUUCUUGAUUUCUUUCUUUGUUUUUGGUUUUUGAAGAUCUUUUCACCAGUAGAAUCAUGAAAGCUCAAGAAAGCUGUGGGAGAACAUGGCAUUUUUCAGGAUUUUUUCUUGUAUCUAUUGUGUGUUUGGAUAAAUAUUCUUGGCUCUUUCUUUUCCUGGAAAAAAAAAAACAAAAAGAUCUCAACAAACCGCAAUUCCAGUUCUUGCUGAUGAAGGCCAAUUGAAGCUGCUUCAACCCUGCAUGGACUAUGGAUUGCCUACUCCAUUAGUAUCCAAUGAAGUCACUUUGUAUACAUAUCUUCAAGUACCGAAGGCUAUCUACUUGUUUUAUAUGCAGCCCAAAACCAUUUAUUUAUUCAUUUGUGUUUCUUAUGGUUCAAGAAGUAAUAAUAUAUAUUCGAUUUUUCAUUUUCUUUAUUAAUUUUGUAUUUAAAAUUGAUUAAAAGAUUUUAUAUUUAUGUUUAAUUUUUGUAUGUAAGAACAAUGUUAUUAAUGUUUGCAAUUAGCAAAUAUUGUUCUUGCUUUUGAGGGUAAAAGUUUGGUGAAAGCUUUUGUUUCCAAAAACAAGAAAAGAAUCUCUGAAGUGGUGAGUGGUGACCCAACUAUUAGAGAAUCGUCCAAAUAUUAUCUAUAGUGGAAUGUCAUGCAGGCUUAUUGAGCUCCUACUACUACUUCUUUCCUCUUUUCUUUUACUCGAAUUUUCGGUACAUGCAAAAACCUAAUUUCCAUUUUCAUUUUACCCUAAAAUAUCAUUCAAAACCAUACAGAUCAGUGCUGAAAAUCAAUCCAACCAAAGUCAUAAUCUAAUGUUAUAAAACUAAAAAAGAAAAUAAGAAUUCAAGAAAAGGUUUUGGUGGUUGAAGAGGUUUCUCGACAGCAGAGGGAAUAUACAGAUACCUUCAAUCAUUUCUUUUGCAUUAUAUAUAUUCUACAUAUAGAGAGAAAGAAAAGAAAGUGAAAGGGAAAUGGCAGAGACAAGCAAUGAUAUUGGAUAUUUGUUGCUUCCAUUCCAUGUGGUAGUGAAAAGGAGAUGUCGCUAUUGAGAUUAAAAUGCUGCUAUGGGUCAAGUCUGAAGCUCAAUUCUCAGCCAUUAGAAUCGAGUAACAAACAAUAGUACACGCAUUAUAUCUACCGCUAAAAUGGUUUAUUCUUUUUAGUUGAUGUGAGAGUGUAUUUGUGUAUACAUAUGUGUGUGUCUGCGUGUGUGUGUAACUCUGCGAUGAUAAAAGAAAUGGCAACUUUAUUGGCUCUCAAGGGAAUGUAAAAAAAAAUGUACCAACAGUAGUGAACAGUCUUCAUCAAUAUGUGUUUUCACAGCUUUAUAUAUAUAUAUACAUGUCCAUGGAUCCAUAUCAAA